AGUGAACGCUGGCGGUAGGCCUAACACAUGCAAGUCGAACGGCAGCACAGUAAGAGCUUGCUCUUACGGGUGGCGAGUGGCGGACGGGUGAGGAAUACAUCGGAAUCUACUUUUUCGUGGGGGAUAACGUAGGGAAACUUACGCUAAUACCGCAUACGACCUACGGGUGAAAGCAGGGGAUCUUCGGACCUUGCGCGAUUGAAUGAGCCGAUGUCGGAUUAGCUAGUUGGCGGGGUAAAGGCCCACCAAGGCGACGAUCCGUAGCUGGUCUGAGAGGAUGUUCGGCCACACUGGAACUGAGACACGGUCCAGACUCCUACGGGAGGCAGCAGUGGGGAAUAUUGGACAAUGGGCGCAAGCCUGAUCCAGCCAUACCGCGUGGGUGAAGAAGGCCUUCGGGUUGUAAAGCCCUUUUGUUGGGAAAGAAAAGCAGCAGGUUAAUACCCCGCUGUUCUGACGGUACCCAAAGAAUAAGCACCGGCUAACUUCGUG
rnacentral:rRNA from 1 species